UUGUACUCUGGAAGUGGAAGGUAAAGCUGGAGAGUGAUUCUUAGAGUAUCUGACACCAUGCGUUUACCAUAUGGAAUCCAAUGAUUGUUAGGCUAUGUUUCUAUGUGGUUACUCUGUUAUUGUAUUGGAACUAUGUCUGGAUUUCUUAGGCUUCGAAUGGUAAAAGCAGAUCAAGCGUUGCAGAUCAUGCAGAUCAUGCAGAUCAUAUGAACAAUGCAGAUCAGGUAGAUCAUGCAGAUCAUGCAGAACAAGUGCAGAUCAUGCUGAUUGUGCAGUAUAUAUUAUGGCCUUGAAUGGUAAAAGUAGAUCAAACAGUGCAGAUUAUAUAUGCAUAUUAAAUAUUAAACAGUAAAUAAUAUAAAAAACACAUAAAAUUCAAUAAAAUUAUUUUUAAAAAUAAUCAAUGUAUUUAGUGUUGAUUUUUUUUCUAAAUAUUUGGAGGUCUUAAAACAUUAAAAACAAAUAUUCAAAUACAACAAAAAUUAAACUAAGAAUAUAUUAAUAAGGAGUAUUUUGAUUUGCCCAUAAUAUAUCAGCAAUAUUUUCUCUAAUAUUUGCCAUUUGAUCUCCAUCAGCUAUAGCAGUAGUUUCCAUGUCACCUUCGUCAUUCUCUGAAUUUGUGUAUGCUCCAUUACUUCAGCAAAAUCUUCAUCAAAAUAAUUUGAAAUUCUGAUAAAAUUAUGUAGUCCCAUUGUAGCCAUCACCACUCUUUUUUGAACAUGUGUGUUAUAUCUAGGAAACUCAGAAAGAAUCCUCCAUUUCUUCUUCCAAACUCCAAAUGUUCUUUCAAUAACAGAACGUAGUGAUGCAUGACAACGAUUAAAUAGUUCUUGUUUGUUCCUAGGAAGAGGACCAUUGUAGAAUUGCGACAUAUGAUACCGAACAAUCCCAUUCCGUGAAGAUCUAUAAGGAGCCAAAAAACCUUGUUUAUUUGGAUAACCAGAAUCAACCACAUAAUAUUUGUCUCCAGUAAAUAUAAUACCCUUUUUUUCCCCCGAAUUUUUAUAUUUGUCUAACCGUUUUUUUUUUUUAAAUAUAAAACUAACUCCUAUUUUCAUGACAAUUUAAUAAAAAAAUAUUUGGUGCAAAAUAUUUAAAGUUUUUUAUUUUUUAAAAUUCAUAACAACUUUCAAAUAACCUCCCACAAUUAUAGGAGAUAAUUAUAUUCAAAUAAAUUUAUUUUACAACAAAACAUAAAUAUAGGCUAGUUUUUAAAUGUAUAAAUUUUACUUUUUUAAUUUUUUUAGAUAAGGUUUUUAAAAAAGAUUCCAUAAAGAAAGAAAAAUAUAAAACAACAUUUAUUAUCAUAUAUGAAUAACUAUGAUAAAAUAAACAUAGUUUCAUGAAAAUACAAGUUUAACAAGUAAGAACAUAUACCAAAAACUAUAUAUAUACAAAUAUAAAAUUAACAUACAUAUUACAUCACUGGUAGAAAAAGCAUGUUUUAAAUAAAAAUUUAAAUACUAUAAUUUUAUAACUACUAAUAUACUAUAUAAUGUAACUACAUUUAUUUAAUAGGAUAAAUAUAUAUACCUUUCAGCAGGAAAUUAUAGAAACAAAAGGUGUAGUGUUGAAGCUUGGAUUGUAUUUUGAAUUCUGUAAAAAAUAAAAUAUAUAUGUUAGUCUAUAGAAAAAUUAAAUUGCAUGUAAUUUAAGAAAAAAAAAAUACCUUUGCAAACAAAAAUGGUUAGAACACGAGAGAGGGAGAGAAAGAAGAAGUGAGUGGUGUAUGGGUUGUGAAGUGUAGUGUAGUUAUAUAGAAAAAAAAAAAAAAAAGAUUUUUUUGAAUUAUUAUCUUAUUAAAAAAAUAAAAAAAUACAAAAGACAGUUAAAACACAUCAAAAGAGGCGUGCACAACUUCCCCCACAGAUGUCCUGUCUUUUUCACAAAAAGACAAAAAAUUAAUGAACUGCCUUCAGUUUUUUUGGUUUUGUUUAAAAAAAAUUAAAAAUGGUGAAUGGUGUUUCGGUAACAGGAGAACUACAUGCAUGGGUCAACUGCACUUCUCCUGUCUCCCCAUUCAAGGCCUUAAUUAGCCAAUAGACUCUUGAAACUUCUGAUUCUCAGUCACUUGAGAAAAGCAAAGGCAGAUCAUUACAAAGUCUGCAUCUGUCACUCUGUCUCUCGUCAUAAUUAGCUUUAGUCUUGAUUGUUGCCUUGGAUUUGGCUGCCUCAAGACUUUGUGAAAGGUUGUAUGAAGGAUUCUCUCUGAUACCAAUGAGAAAUUGGUUAUGGCCUUUUCUUUGAUGACCUAAAUUACAUAGAUGGUUAAUGAAGUAUCCGAGAUUGUAGGGAAUUUCAUGUGUUUUUCAAGCUCACAUUGAAGUCUGAAGGGUGGAGGUUGUGUUCUUGCGGUGACUACUAGUGUAGUAGUGUUAGCAUUCAGAUUUUUGAUAAAACUAAUAAUACAGUAAUAACAAGUUCGCCGCAAUCUGUCUGAGAACCUUUUUGUUUUAAUAAAUAUACCCAUGCGAGAUU
rnacentral:lncRNA from 1 species